UAUUCAUGCAAAAUUCUUCUUUGACUAGGAUUAUUCAGGGUAACAUUUAAAGACUCUCUCUGAAUCCUUACUGUGUGAGAAUGGCUGAUCUGAAUAAUUUUGUGCAGAGGUGUUGAUUAUGGACUGAAGGUUUAUAUUUUUGUGUUAAUUUCAGGAGCUGAAACUUUCUUGGUUACUGUCAAGUGGGAAAAUUCUCAGUGCUAAAAUAAUUUCCAGGUCCAAUCAAAACAAGCUUCCCCUCAAAAAACUGUCGAAAAUCUCAACAUGCAAUAGAUGUGUUAUGGACUUAUAAAAAUGGAGCCUGAUACUCCCCAGAGUCCUUUCCUGAUGAGGCUUCUGGAGGCACAGGAUUCCCUGAGAUGGAUUUUCCCAGAGGGAAUCUGGAGAAAGGUUUCAAGACAGAUUUUCCUUUGUGAGUGAAUGCCCUGGCAGAGGUGGGGGAGUGAACAGGCAGAUCCACCCAGGAUUUCAGAGCUCUGGGCGUUAGGCUACCUUAUCUCAGCUGGGCUGACUUCUCGCCAACAUCCUCAGUGCCAACCGCUCCUGUAGGUAAAACAAGACUGGCCACUCAGAGUUUAACAUCCUCGAGCUACUGUGAUAAGUUCAAGAAAGGCCACAAGAUCUGAGCUGGACCAAAUAGGGCAAAUGGGAUCCCAUCUUGGAAUCUGUUGGAGCUAUCAGGGGAAAAACAUUUUUUUUUUCUUUUGUAGUAUUCAAGAAGAUGGGACAUAAGCUUAGAGCUCCUGACGUCUUGUCACCAGGAAGGGAGAAGUUAACUAAGAGCUCAGCCACUCUAGAGGAAAGCAGAGAAAUUGAUGCAAGGGUCCUAAUGACAUUGUUUGAGCUCCUGGAUACAACCGUGUUUGAAGUCUCGUAUAUCCAUGAACUUUGCAGUUGUGUGAACCAAUCUAUUUCUUUUUGGCUCUUGCUCAAGUCAAUUGUUCGCAGACAUUUCUGUGCAUCAAAUCACCUGAGGAGCUUGUUAAAAUGUAGAUUUCUAUGCCCCACCUUCAGGUGGAUCUAUGGUGGGAACCAAAACCUUGCAUUUCAAAUAAUUUUCUAGGAGAUGCUGUGGCUGCUGGUCCAGGGGCCAUACUUUGAGAACCAUUGGCUUAGGAGCCUUUUUUGGUUUCUGCUGCUGAUAACCCAAACUGUCUUGAUUGACAUCAGAAGAUCUUUUCUAAAUGGAAAAAGAAUCCGAUGCGUAGAAGAAUUAAUAGAAUGAGAUAAAAUAAUGUGUUUGGGAACUAGUCAAUAAGCACUUGAAAAAGGACAUGGCCAUCCCUCAUGACUGCUUUGGACCAAACCAACAUUUUGUAAGGUGGUUUUCCACUGUCCAUAUGGCUAAAGGCAAGGCCGUUCGAGUUUAUGACAAAUGAGCAAAAACAGCAGGACUAAUACAUGUUUUGUCGAAGACUUAAAACCCGUGCAUUGAGAAAAUGCACAUUUUUCGCUCUGAUCCAGUCUGUCAACAAAAUGCUUUUCAUGAGAAACAUCAAAGCCAUUUCAUCUGCAAGUUUCAUUUUUUUGAAUCCCUUAAUCUACACUGUUGACAAAAAUUUCUGUCAAGUGCCUCAAACCAUUGUAUUAACAAAUUUUAUUUUGUCAGUCAUGAUUUAGCCCCCUUGCAAAGACGGUUUGUAAUAUUCCGCUCCAUCCUGCAGGAGGAAUACUUAACUGUUAAUGCCUCAAUCUUAAUAUUGAAAGCAACUGAAGAGAGAAAGUAAAAGUGGUGUGCUCAUUUAGCACAUCUGUUGGAUGUCCAUGUGCAUUUGAAAUAAAUCCAGUUCAUCUGAAGUUUUCCCUGGGUAAUGCAAGCCACAGUGAGGGUCAGGAUAUUGCAGUUGGUGAACUUACACAGUACUGUUCAUGUUUUCCAGUUUAGUUUCUUAUCUGCUAAUCACAGGCUUUCUGUUCUUACCUAUGCGACUUCUCCCUGUGGCUACGCCUGGUGGCUUUUGUGAAAGCAUCACCAUUCACGAUUUUCCCUAAUUGCAAAUGCAGGAGGAUGCCGUGUACCUUCCAGUGUCUUCAGAUUCCAGUGUGUCUUCAGUUCAAUUAUCAUGCCAUUAAAAUAAGGGAUGGUCACUGCUGUUUUCUAGAGAUGCUGUAAGAGCAUUUGGCUAUUUCUGCUCAAAAAGAAGCAAUGGUGGAUAAGCUUAAGCUUGAGAUGUCUGUUUUCUGCAUAGCUUAUCCCUGAAUUAUUGGUGAUGGCAAGAUGAGAAGGCUGGAUUUCCUGAUAGUCUCUGACAUGUUAAAUUGCUAAGUCUUCUUAGGAACUUCAAAACAAGACAGUCAUAAAUUGAUGUCACCAAUUCUAAUUAUGGUGGAUACCCCUGCGGAGAAUUUGCAGAUGCCAAUGUAUCUUGUAGGGAAUUGGACAUCUUGUACUGUAGACAAGAAUGAAG
ensembl:lncRNA